rnacentral:rRNA from 1 species
GGGUUGUGAGGUUAAGCGACUAAGCGUACACGGUGGAUGCCCUGGCAGUCAGAGGCGAUGAAGGACGUGCUAAUCUGCGAUAAGCGUCGGUAAGGUGAUAUGAACCGUUAUAACCGGCGAUUUCCGAAUGGGGAAACCCAGUGUGUUUCGACACACUAUCAUUAACUGAAUCCAUAGGUUAAUGAGGCGAACCGGGGGAACUGAAACAUCUAAGUACCCCGAGGAAAAGAAAUCAACCGAGAUUCCCCCAGUAGCGGCGAGCGAACGGGGAGCAGCCCAGAGCCUGAAUCAGUGUGUGUGUUAGUGGAAGCGUCUGGAAAGGCGCGCGAUACAGGGUGACAGCCCCGUACACAAAAAUGCACAUAUUGUGAGCUCGAUGAGUAGGGCGGGACACGUGGUAUCCUGUCUGAAUAUGGGGGGACCAUCCUCCAAGGCUAAAUACUCCUGACUGACCGAUAGUGAACCAGUACCGUGAGGGAAAGGCGAAAAGAACCCGGCGAGGGGAGUGAAAAAGAACCUGAAACCGUGUACGUACAAGCAGUGGGAGCACGCUUAGGCGUGUGACUGCGUACCUUUUGUAUAAUGGGUCAGCGACUUAUAUUCUGUAGCAAGGUUAACCGAAUAGGGGAGCCGAAGGGAAACCGAGUCUUAACUGGGCGUUAAGUUGCAGGGUAUAGACCCGAAACCCGGUGAUCUAGCCAUGGGCAGGUUGAAGGUUGGGUAACACUAACUGGAGGACCGAACCGACUAAUGUUGAAAAAUUAGCGGAUGACUUGUGGCUGGGGGUGAAAGGCCAAUCAAACCGGGAGAUAGCUGGUUCUCCCCGAAAGCUAUUUAGGUAGCGCCUCGUGAAUUCAUCUCCGGGGUAGAGCACUGUUUCGGCAAGGGGGUCAUCCCGACUUACCAACCCGAUGCAAACUGCGAAUACCGGAGAAUGUUAUCACGGGAGACACACGGCGGGUGCUAACGUCCGUCGUGAAGAGGGAAACAACCCAGACCGCCAGCUAAGGUCCCAAAGUCAUGGUUAAGUGGGAAACGAUGUGGGAAGGCCCAGACAGCCAGGAUGUUGGCUUAGAAGCAGCCAUCAUUUAAAGAAAGCGUAAUAGCUCACUGGUCGAGUCGGCCUGCGCGGAAGAUGUAACGGGGCUAAACCAUGCACCGAAGCUGCGGCAGCGACGCUUAUGCGUUGUUGGGUAGGGGAGCGUUCUGUAAGCCUGCGAAGGUGUGCUGUGAGGCAUGCUGGAGGUAUCAGAAGUGCGAAUGCUGACAUAAGUAACGAUAAAGCGGGUGAAAAGCCCGCUCGCCGGAAGACCAAGGGUUCCUGUCCAACGUUAAUCGGGGCAGGGUGAGUCGACCCCUAAGGCGAGGCCGAAAGGCGUAGUCGAUGGGAAACAGGUUAAUAUUCCUGUACUUGGUGUUACUGCGAAGGGGGGACGGAGAAGGCUAUGUUGGCCGGGCGACGGUUGUCCCGGUUUAAGCGUGUAGGCUGGUUUUCCAGGCAAAUCCGGAAAAUCAAGGCUGAGGCGUGAUGACGAGGCACUACGGUGCUGAAGCAACAAAUGCCCUGCUUCCAGGAAAAGCCUCUAAGCAUCAGGUAACAUCAAAUCGUACCCCAAACCGACACAGGUGGUCAGGUAGAGAAUACCAAGGCGCUUGAGAGAACUCGGGUGAAGGAACUAGGCAAAAUGGUGCCGUAACUUCGGGAGAAGGCACGCUGAUAUGUAGGUGAAGUCCCUCGCGGAUGGAGCUGAAAUCAGUCGAAGAUACCAGCUGGCUGCAACUGUUUAUUAAAAACACAGCACUGUGCAAACACGAAAGUGGACGUAUACGGUGUGACGCCUGCCCGGUGCCGGAAGGUUAAUUGAUGGGGUCAGCGCAAGCGAAGCUCUUGAUCGAAGCCCCGGUAAACGGCGGCCGUAACUAUAACGGUCCUAAGGUAGCGAAAUUCCUUGUCGGGUAAGUUCCGACCUGCACGAAUGGCGUAAUGAUGGCCAGGCUGUCUCCACCCGAGACUCAGUGAAAUUGAACUCGCUGUGAAGAUGCAGUGUACCCGCGGCAAGACGGAAAGACCCGUGAACCUUUACUAUAGCUUGACACUGAACAUUGAGCCUUGAUGUGUAGGAUAGGUGGGAGGCUUGGAAGUGUGGACGCCAGUCUGCAUGGAGCCGACCUUGAAAUACCACCCUUUAAUGUUUGAUGUUCUAACGUUGACCCGUGAUCCGGGUUGCGGACAGUGUCUGGUGGGUAGUUUGACUGGGGCGGUCUCCUCCUAAAGAGUAACGGAGGAGCACGAAGGUUGGCUAAUCCUGGUCGGACAUCAGGAGGUUAGUGCAAUGGCAUAAGCCAGCUUGACUGCGAGCGUGACGGCGCGAGCAGGUGCGAAAGCAGGUCAUAGUGAUCCGGUGGUUCUGAAUGGAAGGGCCAUCGCUCAACGGAUAAAAGGUACUCCGGGGAUAACAGGCUGAUACCGCCCAAGAGUUCAUAUCGACGGCGGUGUUUGGCACCUCGAUGUCGGCUCAUCACAUCCUGGGGCUGAAGUAGGUCCCAAGGGUAUGGCUGUUCGCCAUUUAAAGUGGUACGCGAGCUGGGUUUAGAACGUCGUGAGACAGUUCGGUCCCUAUCUGCCGUGGGCGCUGGAGAACUGAGGGGGCUGCUCCUAGUACGAGAGGACCGGAGUGGACGCAUCACUGGUGUUCGGGUUGUCAUGCCAAUGGCACUGCCCGGUAGCUAAAUGCGGAAGAGAUAAGUGCUGAAAGCAUCUAAGCACGAAACUUGCCCCGAGAUGAGUUCUCCCUGACUCCUUGAGAGUCCUGAAGGAACGUUGAAGACGACGACGUUGAUAGGCCGGGUGUGUAAGCGCAGCGAUGCGUUGAGCUAACCGGUACUAAUGAACCGUGAGGCUUAACCUUACAACGCCGAAGCUGUU